CGGGAUGUAGCCUAGGGGCUAAGGCACUUGCUUUGGGAGCAAGAAACCGGGGGUUCGAAUCCCCCCGUCCCGA
rfam:Treponema sp. GWC1_61_84 gwc1_scaffold_65, whole genome shotgun sequence.